rnacentral:rRNA from 1 species
GUACGAGAGGACCGGAGUGGACGCAUCACUGGUGUUCGGGUUGUCAUGCCAAUGGCACUGCCCGGUAGCUAAAUGCGGAAGAGAUAAGUGCUGAAAGCAUCUAAGCACGAAACUUGCCCCGAGAUGAGUUCUCCCUGACCCUUUAAGGGUCCUGAAGGAACGUUGAAGACGACGACGUUGAUAGGCCGGGUGUGUAAGCGCAGCGAUGCGUUGAGCUAACCGGUACUAAUGAACCGUGAGGCUUAACCUUACAACGCCGAAG